CCUACGGGAGGCAGCAGUGAGGAAUAUUGGUCAAUGGCCGUAAGCCUGAACCAGCCAAGUCGCGUGAGGGAUGAAGGUUCUAUGGAUCGUAAACCUCUUUUAUAAGGGAAUAAAGUGCGGGACGUGUCCCGUUUUGUAUGUACCUUAUGAAUAAGCAUCGGCUAACUCCGUGCCAGCAGCCGCGGUAAUACGGAGGGUGCGAGCGUUAUUCGGAAUUACUGGGGUUAAAGCGCGCGUAGGCGGUAUGUUAAGUCAAGGGUGAAAUCCCCGGGCUCAACGUGGGAACUGCCUUUGAAACUGGCAAACUGGAGUGUGUGGGAGGAUAGGGGAAUGCGAGGUGUAGGGGUGAAAUGCGUAGAUAUCUCGAGGAACACCAGUGGCGAAGGCGACUAGCUGGGACAUAACUGACGCUGAGGAGCGAAAGCGUGGGUAGCAAACAGGAUUAGAUACCCGAGUAGUC
rnacentral:rRNA from 1 species